UGGGGAGAUUCAUCGUCAGCGAUUAGCGGUACGCGCGCGGUUCGCGAUACCGCGGGGCUCGUCCUCGCGGCACGCGUCCAUGCGUAUUUUAAUGCCGUUCAUUGUCGGCGUGCACUUCUCCCCUAGUAGGACGUCGCGACCCGUUGGGUGUCGGUCUACGGCCCGGGUAGGCGCCUGUUCUGUGUCGCGCCUCGGCGUUGACGCGGUUCAGCCCCCGGUCGCCCGACCGGCUGCUCGGCGGUAAUCGCAAGGUAUCUGGCCGCAAUUGAACUGCGUCCGGCCCGUCGCAAGCGCGGCAAGUUCCCGGAUGUUACGGAUCCAAUGCCGUCGCCGGUGCUUGCCAGCUGUUGGCUGACGGUGUCCUAGGACAGGCUAAACAAUACCAGUCGGCGACGCUACUGCUUUGGGUACUUUCAGGACCCGUCUUGAAACACGGACCAAGGAGUCUAACAUGUGCGCGAGUCAUUGGGACAUUGAAACCUAAAGGCGCAAUGAAAGUGAAGAUCGGCCUCGCGCCGAUCGAGGGAGGAUGGGCCGUCGUCUCACGAUGCGGCCCCGCACUCCCGGGGCGUCUCGUUCUCAUUGCGAGAAGAGGCGCACCCAGAGCGUACACGU
rnacentral:rRNA from 1 species